UACGUAGGGCGCAAGCGUUAUCCGGAAUUAUUGGGCGUAAAGAGCUCGUAGGCGGUUUGUCGCGUCUGCCGUGAAAGUCCGGGGCUCAACUCCGGAUCUGCGGUGGGUACGGGCAGACCAGAGUGAUGUAGGGGAGACUGGAAUUCCUGGUGUAGCGGUGAAAUGCGCAGAUAUCAGGAGGAACACCGAUGGCGAAGGCAGGUCUCUGGGCAUUAACUGACGCUGAGGCGCGAAAGCUAGGGGAGCAAACAGG
rnacentral:rRNA from 1 species